rnacentral:misc_RNA from 1 species
UUAAAACUAGAUUCUCCUCUGCAAUUAUUGGUGUAAUAUAACCAGAAACAAAUCAAAGAACGAAAAGAGAAAGUAACUGCUAUUAAAUCUUUAAAUUUUCUUGUCAAUUUGCUUCCUGGUGACCUCGUAUUUGUGUCAUCCAAAGAUUGAACCUUCCCCAAACACCACCUCUCCUCAUCAGAUAUAACAUAAAAUUCCAGAGUCUAGCAAAUGGACUCCAUUUAAAGCUUUCAAACCUACUGGAAAUUUCAUAAUGAUUUACUCUUUAACAACUUCCUUAUAAAUAUUACAAAUAAACACUCAAAUCCCACAGCCUUAAUUGACAAGAAAGCAAUAAAAACACCAAAAAAGAACAUGAUAGUUGCUGCCUAAUGAGUAACCUAAGCCCCUUAGCGUCAAGAAGUGCUGCAGGGAAGUAGCCAUAAUCAGCUCCUUUCAGAGCAGAGCCAAAUAGCAUGGUUUAGCUGAAAUCAAAUGAACACCAUGCUUCAUUAUAGCUCAAGCCAUCUUAUAAUAGGUAUAAAACAAGUUAACAACAUCAAAAUUUUAAUACUUGCUUUCAUUAUUCAGGUAUUACCAGUACAAUGAAGUUUUAUGGCUCGUUUUCUUCUCUUUUGCAUUGUGUUGGCCAAUCUGUGGAUGUUAGGAUUCAUGCUGCUACCUGUUCCAAGUCCAGCUCCAUCAGAAGGUGGGAUUAUAGCCGGAAAUCUAGGGAUCAGACGUAUGGCAUCGCAUCAUCCUGAUAAGUCUGCAACUGGUGGACAAGUGAUUCUUGGUGUAUUCAUGGUGAUCAUAGUUGCAGUAGUUUUCUUCUACAUUCGCAUCACAAGACAGAGCCAAGAAUCCCAUACUUGAGCUCCUUAUCUUUCCUGUUUCCCAGCGUGAGGUUAAGAAAAAAAAAAAUCAUAGUAUGCACUGUUUAGCGAGAACAAGACGCAUAGAUAAUACUAUAUUCUAAUUUUUCUUGAAUUGGAGCAAAUUAUUCCAGAAAGUUUUGAGCUUUCGGGAGGAUGAUUUACAAGCUAUCAUUAUAAAUUGACAGAGUAUUUAUUCUUUAAUUAGAGAACUUAAUAGAUAAAUUCAUCCAUUACAAACUGCUCUGAUAGUUGCCUUUCUUUAUCUACUUGCUUCUCUGCAAUGUUGAUCUAUAUGUAACCACCUGAAAUUCAAGAACUGAAAUACUGACCAGUGACCACCACCAGGUGCACCUUCCUCUUUUCUCUUUUCAAGAAAAACAUAAAAAGAAACUGGAGAAGGAAGACAAGCAGACCACCAUCAGCUGAAUUAGUAGAGGAAAAUAAUGCACUUUCCUUCUAUUGUAAGGGAAUUAAUGCAAUUAACAACACUAUUUCCCCCAUCAGAUUAUUGGAAAGGACACAAAUUCAGCGGAGAUAAUGUGGUUACUGGUUAAGCACCCAUGUAACGUCCCAUGAGCUUCUUCUUUCUCAGUUGAAAGAAGGGUUAUCCUUUAGAAAUUUAGCAAAGCAUAAGAAGAUAAUUAGACACACAGUAAUUAAGGUAUUUUUCAUUGAAUAUUAUCUAUCAGUUCAGAAUCUAAGAAAUCCAAAAAGUUUAUCAUUUGAUUCCACAAAUUUAUCCACUCUGUUUCCAUUUCUUUACAAACCUAUAUAGAUUGAAAGCACUUUACUCCAUAUUUUCCUUUUCAAGUUCGAAUAAAAGAAAGGUAAAAGGAAAAGAAGGGAAAAUUCUCUUUGAACUGAGCUUCUUGUCUUUCAUCUCAGAACAGCAAAACCCAUCUUCCUUCCAAAAUUCUCCAAUAGAGCUCCUUGAGGCUUGCAAACAGGGGGAUCUUCAAAAAGAGAACGAGAGAGCUGCUUAUGAGCAAGACCAAUAUCAAACAAGAUCAAACCAGAAGAUGGAUCACUAACUGUAAUUCCUUUGACAGGAAACCAAAGGAAAAGCUCUUCUUGGGAAAUACCUUCAAGUCCAACAAGCCCACCAUAACUGAGAUUAGCUCUAACCACACUAUCAAAAUGCACCCUGGUUUCAUAUUUAGCCAUGCAAGGACCAUCCAAGUGAACCUCGAGGCGACCAUUCUGGUCAAGAUCAAAGGAUAUGACAUUGUCAGGAAAGAGACCACCGGGCAGGCCUUGGCUCUGAAGGAGGUUUUGUAUGGAGGAGGAGGAGGUGGCGGAG